rnacentral:rRNA from 1 species
CCUACGGGAGGCAGCAGUGAGGAAUAUUGGGCAAUGGACGAGAGUCUGAACCAGCCAAGUAGCGUGAAGGAUGACUGCCCUAUGGGUUGUAAACUUCGUUUAUAUGGGAAUAAAAUGUUCCACGUGUGGGAUUUUGUAUGUACCAUAUGAAUAAGGAUAGGCUAACUCCGUGCCAGCAGCCGCGGUAAUACGGAGGGUCCGAGCGUUAUCCGGAUUUAUUGGGUUUAAAGGGAUCGUAGGUGGUUUGUUAAGUCAGUUGUGAAAGUUUGCGGCUCAACCGUAAAAUUGCAGUUGAAACUGGCAGUCUUGAGUACAGUAGAGGUGGGCGGAAUUCGUGGUGUAGCGGUGAAAUGCUUAGAUAUCACGAAGAACUCCGAUUGCGAAGGCAGUUCACUGGACUGCAACUGACACUGAGGCUCGAAAGUGUGGGUAUCAAACAGGAUUAGAUACCCGAGUAGUC